rnacentral:lncRNA from 1 species
GUAUAAGUUUAUUACUCUGUUUUAUUGUAAGUUAUUUCACAUGGGAACUGUGUGCCUGGUAUGAUUGUUGCUUUAAAAAUACUAUAAGCCCACUACACUUAUUAUGAGAGUGGGAUAGUGUAAAUGUGUUACAUUGUUUGCAUGAUGAGCUCAGUAUAUUUUAUAACUGAGACAAAAAGUCACUUCAGUAUUUGGAAGUUAAUUCCCCAUAUGGGAUUAAUUGUAUAGAAACACCAAUCAGCACAUCUUCCCUGCCCUGUGUGUUUGUUGCAAAGGAUCCAUACUGUAAAUAUGAUUUUUGUUUGAAAAUAACAGAGCAACAUUUACAUUUUCAGCGGUCCAACACAUGCUUUAUUUUGCACUGUAAACUAACCUUUUUAUUGCAACAGGUUCCUUUUAAAUGAUCCAGUGUAAUAACUACUGCUUGUGUCUUCUAUGUCUCACAUUAUGUGUUCUUUUAAAUUGUGGUAUAUAGCCUGAAUCAGACAUCAUGGACAAAGGUUUUUACCUGUGUUACUAAGGGCUCUUGGAGACUGACCGGUCUAAAGGUUUGCCAUGCCUUUAAAACAUGGUAUAGUAUAAAUUUUUUAAGUCUCUGAGAGUUCUGAAAGAUUCAGGUGAAACCAUGUCUGUUUAAUCUGGUCCAGAUGUUUGUUCAAUUUCUAUAGGAUUUAAGUUGAUGCAGCAUCAUCUCAGAUUAGUUAAUGGAAGUUUUAGACAAAUAGUUGAGUUAUGAGCGCGCUAUAUAAAUGGAUCCUUUCUUUAAAUACAAUACUAUAGUAGAUUAAAGUAAUGAAGUUAAUUAAGAAAAUGUAUACAUAAGAAUCCCUAAAAUAAAUCUAAACUAAAAUUGGUAUACCUUCCAAUAAUAUGUUCUGAAUACAGCUGUUAACUCUUUAUUUUGUGUAAAUGGUGAUUGUGAUAAUGUGUGAUAAGUGUGCAGUUUAACUUGAAAG